rnacentral:lncRNA from 1 species
CACACCACUUGGAUCACAACACUGUACACAACUCCUUAAACUGGAGUGGUCAAUCCCAUCUUGACACACGCAUCGACAAGUCAAGUACUUGACUACACCCAGCAGCCUUCCGUCACUGAAUUAAAAAUUUAGCUAGUCUAGUGCCUAAGUGCAGUGAGUUGCUUGCAAAUCACUGUGGCAGUCUCAGGUCGGAGGGACAGUUAUACCCAUAUCCCAUCGGAGCAAAUCUUGACAG